UUCGGAAACCGUACUUAUGGCAGGGGUGGUUUUGCCAGGGGGGGUGGUGGUGGUAGGAUGGGUUGUGAUAUACGCGAUAAAAAUGGCGUUUAUCUAUUUUCACGUACGCACGCAAAUGCAGGAUUCGUAAUAAUUUAUAUCCCGAUCGAUUCGUUUCUAGAAAAAUUAACGCACACGCGUUUACCCGCGCAAUAAAUUUCACUGAAUACAAUUAUCCCAGGUGAUAUCGAUCUCCGUAUAAUCUGACGAUAAUUAAAACCGCGUACCGAUAUAACGUUAAUCUUCGCAUCGUCCGGUUAAUUGGAUCGCACUCGGAUUAUUCCCGCUACUGCUAUUCGUUUUAUUUGUUAUUUAUUUAUUUUUUUUUUUUUCUCUUCCCCCGAGCUUUUCCACGACACGGGUAGAGCAACGCGCGCCCGAUUAGAUGCGACUUAGUGUAAUAAAUAGCCGGUUGGAAACGUUGUAAUCGCAUCAUGUAAGGAAAGCGGACGAGUAGGCGCGCCGGUACCAGGGAAUCGUGAACGGGGGUUAGACGUGGAAAGGGAAGAAGAAGAAGACCCUGCGAUCUAGGGAAUUUGUGGCUCGUUAUACGAUAAUUUGUGAUUGUAAAGGUUUUACUACCUCGUUCCCUCCAACGAUACGGGAUAACGCUCUCCUCUUCUUUUUCUGUUAAUAAAUUUAACGAUUUGAUCCGCGAUUCUCACGUGUAACGUGUACGUUACGCUGUAAAAUCAAAAACCAAAGAGACGUGCCUGUUAUACGAUCACCCGAGGGAUUUUAUGUCUUUUUUUUUGUUUUUUUGUUUUUAAUCUUUACAAUGCGGAUAAUUUACAAGUUUUCCGUAUCUCCCAUCGUGUAUACGCAUUUAUUGCACGACCGUAUUACGAUCGCCGAAUCGCGUUGUACGGCAACGAAAAUUUCCGAUCCGAUUCGGCGCGUUGUAAAUCCUGUAAAAUUUGCCUACUACCUAACCCGUAGCCUCGGAAAAUCGUCGACGAUUUCAACGACUAAUUCCACCCCGCGUUCGGUGUUCACGUUACACCCGGAUCGUCCAAAAAUACAACGGUAGAAACAUGUCGGGACGACUAAUUCCAUAUCCGGCCACAAUAAACCGAACACGAUUGAACAAUAAAACAAUUCGUUUUGCCGAACGCCACGCGACCCCGGAACACGAAUCGUCCUUCCGAAAUCGUCACGUUUUCAUAUAGCACUUAUUUUCUUUUCCCCGUUCUUUUUGACGUCAUUAUAUUCCAAAGAGAAAAUAAAAUUCAUCGACGAUCAUGCGGGGAAAAAUCGAGGGGUCCUCCUCCUCCUCCUCCUCCACCUCGAUAUCUCCUUAUUUUCCGACUCCGCGCAGCGAACUCGCAAUACCUUCCUUCUUUCGCUUCGAAAAUCCGCUAAUAAAUCCCGUACACGCGGGUACUCGAAAAAAAUCAGCAGGCAUCGAGCCAACGUGUACAAGGGUGCUUUCUCUCUUAUCUCUUUUCAUCUCUUUUUCCCCCCUCCCCGUUAUUAUCAUCCUACGUAACGUAUAAAUUCUUGGCCCACCUACGUUAAUUUUCAUACUUUACACUUUACGGAGUUUACAACGAGGAAAUUUUAUUUCCCUCACCCCAUCCGAAUCGCGCCGAUACAUAUCGCACCCUCUUCUCCUCUACGUCUCGUAUACUUUCUCCAACUCCUCGUCCCUCGAACCGCUCGAGGUUUUCAUCGUUUCUGAUUAUUUCUCGUUCGUACACGGUGCCGCGGAAUAGGCUCGACACAAAUAUCCGAAUGUGUGUUCGAGGAUGUAACGCGGUAAACGGGGCCGGGGUAUAACGUCCGUCUUAUUUCAUCGUGCCGCACAUUCCACGUGCUACUAUCACGUGGGCGUUACGCCCCUGAAUAUCCCACCCGUCGCGUACCACCGACCCCUGGAUAUAUCCCGGCGGAAAGUUUGAUUGCUCCCAGAGUUUUUGAGACCCUCUCGACGCCUCCCCCCCCCCAACCACCACCACCAGUUUUUCCCGCUAGAAAAUUUUCUUCGCGAGGCACGUCGACUGCUCGACGCUACCGUAUGAUUGAUUGCACGCCGUACUCUGGACAACCGAAAUCCUGCGGGAUUUAUAUCGAUGCAAAGGGGGAGGGGUGAGGAUGAUAAAAAAAAAAAAAAAAAAAACAUUUACAAAAAUUCGUUACUCUUGUACGGCGGCCAAUCGGAUACCGAAUCGCACGGCGGUGGUGAGAUGGUUUUAUUUUAUUUUUUUUUGUUUCGGUAAUUUGGGUUUUUGGUGGAAAAUUUUUUUUUUUUAUGAAUGUUGCCGAGGGUACGUGGCAUCGGGGAACUAAUCUAUAUAUAUAUAUAUAUAUAUAUAUACGUAGUAAAGCAAACUCGGUGGAAGCCAAUCCAAUCACUGAAAGUCUCUGGAACUUAGGGGGUGGAUUAAUUGAUUUGAUUCCAAGGGUUGCCGGGUCCUCGUUCCCUCUGGCUUCUUACCGCCCCCCCCUUCGACUAUCGCCCUUUACGACGUCGAUGGCGGGGGAGCCGAAUUAACCGGGUGCCCCCCGUGAGGUUUCCGGAACCUCGGGUUGAAAGGUCGACUGCCGACUGCGUUAUAGUUCGGGUUUUCUUUUGGCUUUUCUUUUUUUUUUUUUUUUCAUUCUCUAUUCCACGUUCCUAUUCGUCAUUGGGCGACUCUCCGUGCGAUUUGAAAAUCCGGGAGCAGAAAACCAGAAGAGGAUAACAAAUAGGAAUCCCAACAGCGAGACCUUUCCUUCUAUCGCCCCCCCCCCCCUAAAAUAUUUCAACCCUCCUAAUAUUCCUUCACUCUCCGUUUAUUCAUUUAUUUUAUCUAACCAUCUUCUAUUUUACUUUUUCCCAAAUGCUUUACGCUCUCCUCUUCUCCGUCCCUUGAUCGGAUUCGAGGAGACGGAAAAAGGAGUCGUUUGACCCGGGGGUUAAUUGAUGCAAAGGACAUGACAAAAAAAAAAAAAGAGAAGAAAAGAAAAGAAAAGAAAAAGAAAAAAAUUAUCGAACUAGCGGGCUUCGUUUCGACGUGGCUUCUCGUUCAUCUGAAGCGUGUAGUUUUCCAAUUUUAUUCGGCUACCUGACGUCUGCCCCGGAGUCUUCUUGGACACGAGGCGUCGUUGGAAGGAGAGAGGGGGAGGGGGGGGGAGACGAGUUAUAAAAAUUAUCCGAGUUACCGCGGUGGCGAUUAAAGAUUCAUGCAGACCGUCGCUCAAUCAUUAUAAUCCACGUCGUGACGUAACGCUUGCGCCUCGAUACGCGUAUAGGUGUGUGCGCGUAAUAAAGUGUGCGUGCGCGUUCACCAGAGUUCCCCGAUUGCCGGUCACUAUAAUUCAUUUACGUCAGGAUCGCUCUUCAAUUAUUCAGCCGAUCGCCGCUUCCAACCAACCAUGUAAUAAUGCGCACUCACAAUCAACCGGGAGGACGACGACGACGACGACGUUGCGUACGCGCGUAUACGUGCGAUACACCCUCCCCCCCCCGUGCCGCCGUAACGCCCCGUAUUUCAACUUCCCCCCGUGAGUUUGACUCGGAUGAGAAAAAAAAAGAAAAAAAAUCGUGGUGAGAAAAGCGAAUUAAAAAAAAAAGGAGAAGAAGAAGAUUCCUCGAUUGGUGGCGUUUCGCGAAACGGCGGUGACACUCGGCGACGGUACCGCGCGAACGCCGACGCCGGUGAAUCGCGGCGGCGCGCAACGACGAGGUCCGAUGAAAACGGGUGGGUGCGUCAUCCGAGCGAGAUGAGAUGAUCAAUUAAAAUGACGCCGGAUGCAGCUGCACGUGUUACAUCAUCCCGUCGUAGAGUCACUCGUUUAGCCUUGAUCCCUCCCAGCUGAAAGCCUUGGUCACCCACCACCUCGUCUCCGGCGGUCCUAGGCAAAGCUACCGUGUACUUGGCCUUUUCUCGUAUCGACUAUAUCCUCCCUUCUCUCUCUCACGAUCCGUAAGAGGAAUUAUUAUUUCAUACGUAUUUGUUAAUCGUACGGCUGCACUUCCGCGUGCCUCAAAGAUAUCGAUGAUAGGUACUGGUACGCCCGUCGACGUGUGUGAUGUCCCUCGUUAUACCGCGAAAGAAGAAGAAGAGAAAAAAAAAAUGGAGAGGAGGGGAGGAGAAAAAAAAAAAAAAAAAAUGGGAAAAAAUUUCAACCGCCGAGCGAAAGAGACGAUCCAUCAACGCGACGUGGCGUAUGGUUGGGAACAGAAAUUAUAUUUCGGACGCACCAUUGUGCGGCGAAGCCGCGUGUAAAGAGACCGGGUCUCUCAUUGAUGACCAUUGUAAUCGUUGUAAUGGCCAUUUCUGUCUUCGUUUUACUCCAACCAUUUGGAUUUCAGACUGUACGCUCGAUUGUUUUCGCUUCCAUCUUCGGACCGGUACGAGCUACACGUUUGACUCACGGUUACUCGCAGCUAGAAUAUAAACGUAUGUAACGCGUACGUCACCUCGACGAGUGCGGGUGAUCGUUAUCACCGUCAUCGUCAUCGCCGUGUAUAAACGAAUGUACGCCUCGCACGGUCAAUUAUUACUGCGCUUUGCACCGCGACGCGAUGAUGUCAAAUUCCCGGCGAUUGUUCACCGUCGCUUCGGACAAUGGAUUUAAUAUUCUCCUCUGUUUUCAUGCAUCGGGAUAUAUAUUUUUUUCUUCUUCUCAACACCGACGUGUUCCCUCUCUACGUGGGUGCGGAUUUUUCAAUUUUCUUCGGCCGCUGCUUUAUUUCCCUUUGCUCCUUUCUCUCCAUUGUCGCGACAUUUUUUCUCGCUCGUUUUUUCUCUACCACUACCUACUCUACGGCCUCGGGGCAAUCCGGACCGUGGAAUAUGCGGGUAGGAAACAGUGGCGAGGUUUUAGGGUGGGUGGCGGGAGGGAAAAAAGUCAGGAUGUCCAGGUCCGAAUGAAGUCGUCCGUGCGUUGCCUUGCGGACCGAGAAGAUGCUGCGCGGGUCCAACCCUCUCUUUCUUUUUUUGCCUCGUCUCCUUCUCUCUCUCUCUCUCUCUAUUCACAUCGGAGCUAGUCUCUUUUCUUCGAUAAAGAGAUGAUGUACCGCGUGGUCCACACGGGAUGCGGGCUCGGCCGGGGCGACUACGAUAACAAUCAGUCGCCCCGAAAGAGAAAAGAAAAAAAAAAAAAAAAAGGAGGAGAAGAAGAAAAAAAGAGAGAAACUAAAAAGACGGGCGUACACGGUGCUGCAGCGUCUGGAGAACAGCCAGAGAUGAAGAAAUGUGAGGAAAAAAAAAGAAGAAAAAAAUUGUGUAUAAAAUGAAGUAAAAUAAGAGAGAGAGAGAGAGAGAGAGAGAGGGAGGGAGCUGAGAAACUGGUAUAUCGGUACACGUGGAAUAUAAAAGAAUCCGCCGCUCGUAAAAGAGUAAAGAAAAUAGAGAAAAAGCUUUGGGUAAAAAAAUGCACGUACCGCGGGAUGAAAAGGAGAAGAAAAUUAGGUGACAGGCAGAUCGGGAAUACGGUUCUAGGCACGCAUACGAAGAAAAUCUGAACGCAUACCGAACCAAGUUGUAUGAGGGGGGAAUGUAAAACUAUAAACGCCCCGACCGACCGACCGACCGACCGACCGACCGGUAGAGUUUCAAAGUUCCUUCGAGUCGUGAGACACACAUGGAGCCCGAAUUAACGAUAUGAUCUUAGAUCGGACGGUUCUCUGGUUGUCUGCGUGUCGGGAUGGGCCCGGUCCCAACUCGGUGAGUUUCGGGUACGGGGCGAGGUGAGGUCGGUCGGUCGGUCGGUCGGUGCGGCUCGACUCGGGUUUUGGGUUCGUACGGUUUUUCCUUUUGGGUUAAACUCCGACGGAGGAGGAUGCGCCGCCGCUGCUUCAGCUGGAUAAGACGUAUUACGGAAUAGACGCCGAGAUCCACGGUUCGUUGCGCCAGAUGGCCGCCACACAGACGAGCCGAGUGAGUCGAGCGAGAGAGUCACGGCCGAGUCCCGCGGCUUUUCGAACGCCGAUGCACCACCGAGACGAAGAAGUAGAAAAUGACGAUGAUGAUGAUGAUCAUGAUCAUGAUCAUGAUGAUGAUGAUGAUCAUCGUCUUCGUCGUAAUGACGGUGGAAUGAUGAAAAUAACUCGCUAGAUAUCCGUAGUCGGAGCUAUUGUACACGCGGAUCGUCAUAUGCAUCGAAUGUUUACUGGAAUUGCGUUAGUUGUUGAUCUUUGACGUUGAUUCUUGCAUUCUAUCAUUACCAUAACUGGCCCCCAGGGUCUCCGCUCGAGUCCAACGGUUUCGAGUCGCUCGGCUCUCCUCGGCAUCGAAGUCGACGCGAUCUUUUUUUCAUCCCUCCCAUCGCCCCGCGUCGAGCGUUUCCAAAAAACAGCCUCCGGGAACCGAGUGACCGUCGUCGAACCUCGCGGCGAAGAAGGUCACCCCCGAAAAUUCCCACCCCCCCCGAAAAUAUUUCCUCGCGCUAUCCGAGUCCAGAGUGCGCGGGUAGGCGACGAGUGAUUUCUGUCGAUCAAAGGAUCCACGUCAUCGUACAGCCGGGCCGGGGAUUACGCACACACGCGAUAGGCAAGAUGGUCGGAGAGUCCCUCUCUCCCCGUUAAUUUUUUUUUUUUUCCCUCUCUCUCUCCCGCUCUCCCGCUCUCUCGUCCCUCCCCCUCCGAGAGGUCUGUCAAGUGUCACUCGCAGCCGCCAGAGGCGUUGCUGUCGUUCACUGCCCCCGACGAAUGGAAUAAGGGGCGGGGUGGCAAGUGGGGGGAAUCUCGGGCGCGUGUGACUUGCUCGCGUGUGUCUCCAGUCCUCGACACUCAGUGCGUCGGAGACGGUCGUACAGGGAUGCAAGACCCGGUGGUUCUAUUCUCGAAAGUUGAUAGUUUUGAUAUGAAGAUAUAAUUCCUAAUAUCUGUACGUGAUACAACGACGACGAUGUACAACGAGCGCGCGCCCUUUAAUCCUCCGUUCGUUAUCGAAACGCCUUUUAAAUUAUCCGCAUAUUUAUAAUAUGUAUUGAUUAAAAAAAAACAAUAAUGUAACUGUGCAACUUGCAACAGAUUUUCAUGGAAAACAAAUUCACCCACCCCGAUCGAUCGGAACCGGAUGUUCGGUCAUUCGUCUCAUUACGUGAAUUGAAGUGCUUAUUUGGACCCAAAGAGAAAAAAAAAAAAAAAUAGGGGAUGAAAAACAUUUUUCACGUUCGAUUUAUUAGGGGUGGACGGUCUCCGGUAUUUUCCGAUAGAGAUUUAUCGAUCACGCGAAGAAGAUAACGAAGAUUGAAGAAAUUGAAAAAAAAAAAAAAAAAAACCCCGAGAAGAUAUGAAAAAAGAAGAUGACGAACUGGAGUAGCCGGAGUGGUGAUGAUAAUCGAUUUUAUUACAAAAGUCAAAAAUCAAAAAAAAAAAAAAACUGGAAAAAAUCGAAUAAGAAACAAAUUGUCUUGUGAAUAUGGUAGAGAUCCAGCAGCGAGGUAUAGAGUUCCUACGUAGUAUUCAGAAAGUAGGAACUUCAUACCGUGCUCUUGGACUUGCCGAAAGCUCUUCGUUGUUGUUAACAAACCACACAUCACCUAUGAAAUGAAAAUGAAGCGAAAAACUGAAAAAAAAAAUUACAAAACUUCGAUACCGAAUGAUAUGCCGAAUCAUUACAACUUUGGAUAAUCAAGAUAACGAUAUCAUUGAUCAAAAAAGAAAGAAAAAAAAUGAAAAAAAAUAUCUAGAAAGAACAAACAAUUCAGAUGAGAAAACAGUGCGCAGGAGAAGAACAACUGCGUAAGUUAUUUGAAAAAUAAAAAAGAAAAAAUAAUUAAUGGAUUGGAAUGAGAAAAAAAUUUGUCGUAAAAAUUAUAUAGCAUACGUGUGUACGUGUAUACAUGUGUGUGUGUGUGUCUGUGUGUGUGCGUGAGUGUGCCUUGGUUCGCGUGUAUGCGUAGACAUAUGUGUUUAGUAUUUUACAAGUUUUGAAAAAAACAUGUUUAUGCAUCGAAAAUUCGUUAACGAUAAUCGUUUAUUCGCAGUAUAUUUUUUGUUGGGAG